AUUGAACGCUGGCGGCAUGCCUUACACAUGCAAGUCGAACGGCAGCACGGGUGCUUGCACCUGGUGGCGAGUGGCGAACGGGUGAGUAAUACAUCGGAACAUGUCCUGUAGUGGGGGAUAGCCCGGCGAAAGCCGGAUUAAUACCGCAUACGAUCUACGGAUGAAAGCGGGGGACCUUCGGGCCUCGCGCUAUAGGGUUGGCCGAUGGCUGAUUAGCUAGUUGGUGGGGUAAAGGCCUACCAAGGCGACGAUCAGCAGCUGGUCUGAGAGGACGACCAGCCACACUGGGACUGAGACACGGCCCAGACUCCUACGGGAGGCAGCAGUGGGGAAUUUUGGACAAUGGGCGAAAGCCUGAUCUAGCAAUGCCGCGUGUGUGAAGAAGGCCUUCGGGUUGUAAAGCACUUUUGUCCGGAAAGAAAUCCUUGGCCCUAAUACGGUCGGGGGAUGACGGUACCGGAAGAAUAAGCACCGGCUAACUACGUG
rnacentral:rRNA from 1 species